CUCCCGGAUGUUAGCGGCGGACGGGUGAGUAACACGUGGGUAACCUGCCUGUAAGACUGGGAUAACUCCGGGAAACCGGAGCUAAUACCGGAUAGUUCCUUGAACCGCAUGGUUCAAGGAUGAAAGACGGUUUCGGCUGUCACUUACAGAUGGACCCGCGGCGCAUUAGCUAGUUGGUGGGGUAAUGGCUCACCAAGGCGACGAUGCGUAGCCGACCUGAGAGGGUGAUCGGCCACACUGGGACUGAGACACGGCCCAGACUCCUACGGGAGGCAGCAGUAGGGAAUCUUCCGCAAUGGACGAAAGUCUGACGGAGCAACGCCGCGUGAGUGAUGAAGGUUUUCGGAUCGUAAAGCUCUGUUGUUAGGGAAGAACAAGUGCGAGAGUAACUGCUCGCACCUUGACGGUACCUAACCAGAAAGCCACGGCUAACUACGUGCCAGCAGCCGCGGUAAUACGUAGGUGGCAAGCGUUGUCCGGAAAUUAUUGGGCGUAAAGGGCUCGCAGGCGGUUUCUUAAGUCUGAUGUGAAAGCCCCCGGCUCAACCGGGGAGGGUCAUUGGAAACUGGGAAACUUGAGUGCAGAAGAGGAGAGUGGAAUUCCACGUGUAGCGGUGAAAUGCGUAGAGAUGUGGAGGAACACCAGUGGCGAAGGCGACUCUCUGGUCUGUAACUGACGCUGAGGAGCGAAAGCGUGGGGAGCGAACAGGAUUAGAUACCCUGGUAGUCCACGCCGUAAACGAUGAGUGCUAAGUGUUAGGGGGGUUUCCGCCCCUUAGUGCUGCAGCUAACGCAUUAAGCACUCCGCCUGGGGAGUACGGUCGCAAGACUGAAACUCAAAGGAAUUGACGGGGGCCCGCACAAGCGGUGGAGCAUGUGGUUUAAUUCGAAGCAACGCGAAGAACCUUACCAGGUCUUGACAUCCUCUGACAACCCUAGAGAUAGGGCUUUCCCUUCGGGGACAGAGUGACAGGUGGUGCAUGGUUGUCGUCAGCUCGUGUCGUGAGAUGUUGGGUUAAGUCCCGCAACGAGCGCAACCCUUGAUCUUAGUUGCCAGCAUUCAGUUGGGCACUCUAAGGUGACUGCCGGUGACAAACCGGAGGAAGGUGGGGAUGACGUCAAAUCAUCAUGCCCCUUAUGACCUGGGCUACACACGUGCUACAAUGGACAGAACAAAGGGCUGCAAGACCGCAAGGUUUAGCCAAUCCCAUAAAUCUGUUCUCAGUUCGGAUCGCAGUCUGCAACUCGA
rnacentral:rRNA from 1 species